AUUGAACGCUGGCGGCAUCCUUUACACAUGCAAGUCGAACGGCAGCGCGGGCUUCGGCCUGGCGGCGAGUGGCGAACGGGUGAGUAAUGCAUCGGAACGUGCCCAGUAGUGGGGGAUAGCCCGGCGAAAGCCGGAUUAAUACCGCAUACGACCUGAGGGUGAAAGCGGGGGACCGAAAGGCCUCGCGCUAUUGGAGCGGCCGAUGUCGGAUUAGCUAGUUGGUGGGGUAAAGGCUUACCAAGGCGACGAUCCGUAGCUGGUCUGAGAGGACGACCAGCCACACUGGGACUGAGACACGGCCCAGACUCCUACGGGAGGCAGCAGUGGGGAAUUUUGGACAAUGGGGGCAACCCUGAUCCAGCCAUGCCGCGUGCGGGAAGAAGGCCUUCGGGUUGUAAACCGCUUUUGUUCGGGAAGAAAUCCUCUGGGCUAAUACCCCGGGGGGAUGACGGUACCGGAAGAAUAAGCACCGGCUAACUACGUG
rnacentral:rRNA from 1 species